CCUACUGGAGACAUCAUUGGGGAGUAUUGCACAAUGGGGGAAACCCUGAUGCAUCCCCCUCUCUUUCUGUCUUCCUUCCUUCUUUUUUUCCCUCUCUUUCUUCCUUUCCGAUAAUGACGGUACCUGAGGAGGAAGCCACGGCUAACUACGUGCCAGCAGCCGCGGUAAUACGUAGGUGGCGAGUGUUGUCCGGAUUUACUGGGCGUAAAGGGAGCGUAGGCGGACUUUUAAGUGAGAUGUGAAAUACUCGGGCUCAACUUGAGUGCUGCAUUUCAAACUGGAAGUCUAGAGUGCAGGAGAGGAGAAUGGAAUUCCUAGUGUAGCGGUGAAAUGCGUAGAGAUUAGGAAGAACACCAGUGGCGAAGGCGAUUCUCUGGACUGUAACUGACGCUGAGGCUCGAAAGCGUGGGGAGCAAACAGGAUUAGAUACCCUAGUAGUC
rnacentral:rRNA from 1 species